ACCAACAGGGAUUGCCUUAGUAACGGCGAGUGAAGCGGCAACAGCUCAAAUUUGAAAUCUGGCUCUUUUAGGGUCCGAGUUGUAAUUUGCAGAGGGCGCUUUGGCUUUGGCAGCGGUCCAAGUUCCUUGGAACAGGACGUCACAGAGGGUGAGAAUCCCGUACGUGGUCGCUAGCUAUUGCCGUGUAAAGCCCCUUCGACGAGUCGAGUUGUUUGGGAAUGCAGCUCUAAAUGGGAGGUAAAUUUCUUCUAAAGCUAAAUAUUGGCCAGAGACCGAUAGCGCACAAGUAGAGUGAUCGAAAGAUGAAAAGCACUUUGGAAAGAGAGUCAAACAGCACGUGAAAUUGUUGAAAGGGAAGCGCUUGCAGCCAGACUUGCUUGCAGUUGCUCAUCCGGGCUUUUGCCCGGUGCACUCUUCUGCAGGCAGGCCAGCAUCAGUUUGGGCGGUGGGAUAAAGGUCUCUGACACGUUCCUUCCUUCGGGUUGGCCAUAUAGGGGAGACGUCAUACCACCAGCCUGGACUGAGGUCCGCGCAUCUGCUAGGAUGCUGGCGUAAUGGCUGUAAGCGGCCCGUCUUGAAACACGGACCAAGGAGUCUAACAUCUAUGCGAGUGUUUGGGUGUCAAGCCCGAGCGCGUAAUGAAAGUGAACGGAGGUGGGAACCCGCAAGGGCGCACCAUCGACCGAUCCUGAAGUUUACGGAAGGAUUUGAGUAAGAGCAUGGCUGUUGGGACCCGAAAGAUGGUGAACUAUGCUUGAAUAGGGUGAAGCCAGAGGAAACUCUGGUGGAGGCUCGCAGCGGUUCUGACGUGCAAAUCGAUCGUCAAAUUUGGGCAUAGGGGCGAAAGACUAAUCGAAC
rnacentral:rRNA from 1 species